UAUUUAUGCCCCUUAGCCAAGUCAAAUCUGCCUUCACUAUAAUGCUACUUCUGUGGAACUAUAAUGGUUACAUAUCGAUCCAACAUGCAUCUCCCUCGCCGGAGUUCUACGCUAAAAAAAAGUACUACCGAUUUUUGAACCAGUCUGCUUGAAAUGUGCUUUUAAUACUAAGAGUGACCAGAGAGACUUCCCUGAUGGGCCUUCUAUGAUUCAAUGGUUCAUCUUGGCUCAGAAACCUCAGAAAAAGGGAAAACAAGUUGGGAGAAAAAGAAGCUUUUUACCCUCUGUGGCAGUAGGUAAUCCUGCCUAAUAAGGCACAAGAGCCCAAGUUCAGCAAAGCAUUUAAUCAAGGGCCUGCUCAAACUGCCACUGGACUCAGUGGAAAAGCUCCUGUUAGUUGAACAGAAACAGGAUCAGACCCAAAGUGCUUACAUCCAUUUCUUGGAGACGAUAUUGUCUUUUUGUUCUGUGUUUGUACAGCACCUAGCACAAUGGGGUCCUCGUCUAUGACUGGGGUUCUUAGUAGUGCUACUACAAUACUAACAAUAAAUCACCAUACUAAUAA